GAUCCUGACUCAGGAUGAACGCUAGCUACAGGCUUAACACAUGCAAGUCGAGGGGCAGCAUGAACUUAGCUUGCUAAGUUUGAUGGCGACCGGCGCACGGGUGAGUAACACGUAUCCAACCUGCCGAUGACUCGGGGAUAGCCUUUCGAAAGAAAGAUUAAUACCCGGUGGCAUAGUUCUUCCGCAUGGUAGAACUAUUAAAGAAUUUCGGUCAUCGAUGGGGAUGCGUUCCAUUAGGUUGUUGGG
rnacentral:rRNA from 1 species